rnacentral:tRNA from 1 species
CAUUAAAUGACUGAAAAUAUGUAAGUUUUGAUCUUUUAAAUCAAAUAUAUUAGAAUAACAUCUAUUUUUAAUGA